GACGAACGCUGGCGGCGUGCCUAAUACAUGCAAGUAGAACGCUGAAGCGAGGAGCUUGCUCUUCUUGGAUGAGUUGCGAACGGGUGAGUAACGCGUAGGUAACCUGCCUUGUAGCGGGGGAUAACUAUUGGAAACGAUAGCUAAUACCGCAUAACAAUGGAUGACACAUGUCAUUUAUUUGAAAGGGGCAAUUGCUCCACUACAAGAUGGACCUGCGUUGUAUUAGCUAGUAGGUGAGGUAAUGGCUCACCUAGGCGACGAUACAUAGCCGACCUGAGAGGGUGAUCAGCCACACUGGGACUGAGACACGGCCCAGACUCCUACGGGAGGCAGCAGUAGGGAAUCUUCGGCAAUGGGGGCAACCCUGACCGAGCAACGCCGCGUGAGUGAAGAAGGUUUUCGGAUCGGAAAGCUCUGUUGUAAGUCAAGAACGGGGGUGAGAGUGGAAAGUUCACACUGUGACGGUAGCUUACCAGAAAGGGACGGCUAACUACGUG
rnacentral:rRNA from 1 species